GAUCAUGGCUCAGGAUGAACGCUAGCUACAGGCUUAACACAUGCAAGUCGAGGGGCAGCAUUUUAGUUUGCUUGCAAACUGAAGAUGGCGACCGGCGCACGGGUGAGUAACACGUAUCCAACCUGCCGAUAACUCCGGGAUAGCCUUUCGAAAGAAAGAUUAAUACCGGAUAGCAUACGAAUAUCGCAUGAUAUUUUAUUUAAAGAAUUUCGGUUUAUCGAUGGGGAGUGCGUUCCAUUAG
rnacentral:rRNA from 1 species